ensembl:lncRNA
GGUGCUGAAGUUCCCUGAGAUAAAGCAAAAAAGGAACAGAAAGGUUAUAUGCACACCCAGGUGUGGGUUCUGAGACAAACUGGCCAGGGGGGGUCAAAAGAAGAUGACUAGCCAAGAAGAAGACAAAGAUCCUGAGACUACUCCUUACAGAGGAUUCAAGCUUCCCAAAGAUUCGCUGCAGAUUCCGGAAUCCAUCUUCCCACCGCGGGACAGGACUUGUCACAAAUAGCUUGGAUUUAUGGAUGCGCUUCUGCUGCAGAAAUCGUUUCACCUUUUGAGGUAACCUUUACAGAAUCAUAAAAUCAAUCAGUUUUAUUUGACAUCCAAAUCAGAGCUCUGCCCCAAAUAAAUUGCUCGCACUUUAUGCAGAGAACAAAACAGAGACUAGGCGUGAGCCCAGGGCUAAGUGGAAGAGAGCACUGGAGUAACAGCAG